rnacentral:misc_RNA from 1 species
GAUGAAGAACGUAGCGAAAUGCGAUAAGUAAUGUGAAUUGCAGAAUUCAGUGAAUCAUCGAAUCUUUGAACGCACAUUGCGCCCCCCAGUAUUCUGGCGGGCAUGCCUGUUCGAGCGUCAUUUCAACCAUCAAGCCCUGCUUGUGUUGGGGUCCUGCGGCUGCCCGCAGGCCCUGAAAACCAGUGGCGGGCUCGCUAGUCACACCGAGCGCAGUAGCACAUCUCGCUCAGGGCGUGCGGCGGGCUCCAGCCGUUAAAGCACCCACCUUUCGCAAGGUUGACCUCGGAUCAGGUAGGAAUACCCGUUGAACUUAAGCAUAUCAAUAAGCGGAGGA